CCGCCCCGCCCCGCGCGGCCCUUCCGCGGGUGCGGGCCGCGCGCCGCCGCGCCGCCGAGCCCCGGCAGGAAGAACAAGAAGAAGAGGCAAAUACAAACACGAAACCGCGGAGGACCGCGUUUGAACCGCGGCCGGGAGAUAAUGAAGGAAUGCUGCAGAUAAGGGUGGAAGAAGGGAUACGUGCGGAGAGACCCAAAAAGUCUAAUGCAGCGCCUGGGAGAUGGGAAAAAAAAAAAAAAAAGAAAAGAAAAGAAAAGAAAAAGAGUACCAAAAAAGCCCCAAACAAAAGAAAAAAGCGGUGACCGCGGAGGGAGGCCAGGCACACCCACCCCCAAAAAGAAAAGGAGGAGGGAGAACAAAACUAAACAAAAAAGAAAAAAGCGCCUUUCGGAGCCGCCAGCCCCGCCGAGGGCCGCCAGGUCUCCCCGCACCGCCCGUCGGUGCUCGCCCGCCGGGGCCGCGCGGAGCCGCCCCGGGCCCGGGCCCCGCACGGCCCCGCAUUGCGCCCCGCCGAGCCGCGGCCGCGCACCCGGCGCCGCAGGUUCUGCUUUCAUUAAUCGACGCCGUGCGGGAGAAGCGCGGCUCGGGCUCCGGGUGGUUCGUACCUCCGUGAUUUUUCUCCAGCUGCCCAACGCAUUUCUUUACUCUCUGCCUAUGUCAAGCCCUCUUGCUUCGCUACUGCUAUUACUAUACUUCUCGUUGAAUGAAAAUUUUUUUUUUAAAAAAGAGCUAGGUAAAACUCUGCUUAAUUAAAAAAAAAAUCUAGUGCA